GACGUAGGGUGCAAGCGUUGUCCGGAUUUAUUGGGCGUAAAGAGCUCGUAGGCGGUUUGUCGCGUCUGCCGUGAAAGUCCGGGGCUCAACUCCGGAUCUGCGGUGGGUACGGGCAGACUAGGGUGAUGUAGGGGAGACUGGAAUUCCUGGUGUAGCGGUGAAAUGCGCAGAUAUCAGGAGGAACACCGAUGGCGAAGGCAGGUCUCUGGGCAUUAACUGACGCUGAGGAGCGAAAGCAUGGGGAGCGAACAGG
rnacentral:rRNA from 1 species